rnacentral:rRNA from 1 species
UUAUUAUUCAUAAGCGGAGGAAAAGAAACCAACAGGGAUUGCCCUAGUAACGGCGAGUGAAGCGGCAACAGCUCAAAUUUGAAAUCUGGCUUCGGCCCCGAGUUGUAAUUUGCAGAGGAAGCUUUAGGCGCGGCACCUCCUGAGUCCCCUGGAACGGGGCGCCACAGAGGGUGAGAGCCCCGUAUAGUUGGAUGCCUAGCCUGUGUAAAGCUCCUUCGACGAGUCGAGUAGUUUGGGAAUGCUGCUCAAAAUGGGAGGUAAAUUUCUUCUAAAGCUAAAUACCGGCCAGAGACCGAUAGCGCACAAGUAGAGUGAUCGAAAGAUGAAAAGCACUUUGAAAAGAGGGUUAAAUAGCACGUGAAAUUGUUGAAAGGGAAGCGCUUGUGACCAGACUUGCGCCGGGCUGAUCAUCCGGUGUUCUCACCGGUGCACUCUGCCCGGCUCAGGCCAGCAUCGGUUCUCGCGGGGGGAUAAAGGCCCUGGGAACGUAGCUCCUCCGGGAGUGUUAUAGCCCGGGGCGCAAUGCCCUCGCGGGGACCGAGGUUCGCGCUCUGCAAGGAUGCUGGCGUAAUGGUCAUCAGCGACCCGUCUUGAAACACGGACCAAGGAGUCAAGGUUUUGCGCGAGUGUUUGGGUGUAAAACCCGCACGCGUAAUGAAAGUGAACGUAGGUGAGAGCUUCGGCGCAUCAUCGACCGAUCCUGAUGUUCUCGGAUGGAUUUGAGUAGGAGCGUUAAGCCUUGGACCCGAAAGAUGGUGAACUAUGCUUGGAUAGGGUGAAGCCAGAGGAAACUCUGGUGGAGGCUCGCAGCGGUUCUGACGUGCAAAUCGAUCGUCAAAUCUGAGCAUGGGGGGCGAAAGACUAAUCGAACCAUCUAGUAGCUGGUACCCACCCCCC